GGGGGGGGGGGGGGGGGUGGGUGGGCGGGGGGGGGGGGACGGGGGGGGCCUGCAGGGAGGGGAGGCGAGGGGCGACGGGGUGAGUACCACGUGGGGGAGCUGCGCUGCACGUCGGGAUAAGCCGGGGAAACGGGGUCUCAUACCGGCGAGGAGCCUGUUAUAGUGUGAUGGGUGGACAGUGUUGUCGGUGUCGUAUGCGCUCGCGGCCUAUCAGCUUGGUGGUGGGGUACUGGCCGACCAAGGCGGCGACUGGGUACCGGCCUUAGCGGGUGGACGGCCACAUUGGGACUGAGAUACGGCCCAGACUCCUACGGGAGGCAGCAGUGGGGAAUAUUGCACAAUGGGCGCAAGCCUGAUGCAGCGACGCCGCGUGGGGGAUGACGGCCUUCGGGUUGGAAACUCCUUUCGCUAGGGACGAAGCUUUUUGUGACGGUACCUAGAUAAGAAGCACCGGCUAACUACGUG
rnacentral:rRNA from 1 species